UACGUAGGUGGCGAGCGUUGUCCGGAUUUAUUGGGCGUAAAGCGCGCGCAGGCGGUCGCGUAAGUCUGCUGUGAAAUCUCCCUGGCUCAACCGGGAGGGGGCGGCGGAGACUGCGGGACUGGAGGGACCUAGAGGCCGGUGGAAUUCCCGGUGUAGUGGUGAAAUGCGUAGAUAUCGGGAGGAACACCCAUGGCGAAGGCAGCAAGCUGGGCGACACCUGACGCUGAGGCGCGAAAGCGUGGGUAGCAAACAGG
rnacentral:rRNA from 1 species